rnacentral:rRNA from 1 species
GACGAACGCUGGCGGCGUGCUUAACACAUGCAAGUCGAGCGGUAAGGCCCUUUCGGGGGUACACGAGCGGCGAACGGGUGAGUAACACGUGGGUGACCUGCCCUCAGCUCUGGGAUAAGCCUGGGAAACCGGGUCUAAUACUGGAUAUGACUCCAUGACGCAUGUUGUGGGGUGGAAAGCCUUGUGCGGCUGAGGAUGGGCCCGCGGCCUAUCAGCUUGUUGGUGGGGUGANGGCCUACCAAGGCGACGACGGGUAGCCGGCCUGAGAGGGCGACCGGCCACACUGGGACUGAGACACGGGCCCAGACUCCUAGGGAGGCAGCAGUGGGGAAUAUUGGACAAUGGGCGCAAGCCUGAUCCAGCGAUGCCGCGUGUGUG